rnacentral:rRNA from 1 species
AGAGUUUGAUCCUGGCUCAGAACGAACGCUGGCGGCAGGCUUAACACAUGCAAGUCGAACGCACCUUUCGGGGUGAGUGGCAGACGGGUGAGUAACGCGUGGGAACGUGCCCUUCAGUUCGGAAUAACCCAGGGGAAACUUGGGCUAAUACCGGAUACGUGCGAGAGCAGAAAGAUUUAUCGCUGAAGGAUCGGCCCGCGUCUGAUUAGCUAGUUGGUGAGGUAAUGGCUCACCAAGGCGACGAUCAGUAGCUGGUCUGAGAGGAUGAUCAGCCACAUUGGGACUGAGACACGGCCCAAACUCCUACGGGAGGCAGCAGUGGGGAAUAUUGGACAAUGGGCGCAAGCCUGAUCCAGCCAUGCCGCGUGAGUGAUGAAGGCCUUAGGGUUGUAAAGCUCUUUCGUCCGGGACGAUAAUGACGGUACCGGAAGAAGAAGCCCCGGCUAACUUCGUGCCAGCAGCCGCGGUAAUACGAAGGGGGCUAGCGUUGUUCGGAAUCACUGGGCGUAAAGGGCGCGUAGGCGGCUUGAUAAGUCGGGGGUGAAAGCCUGUGGCUCAACCACAGAAUUGCCUUCGAUACUGUCUGGCUUGAGACCGGAAGAGGUAAGUGGAACUGCGAGUGUAGAGGUGAAAUUCGUAGAUAUUCGCAAGAACACCAGUGGCGAAGGCGGCUUACUGGUCCGGUUCUGACGCUGAGGCGCGAAAGCGUGGGGAGCAAACAGGAUUAGAUACCCUAGUAGUCC